rnacentral:rRNA from 1 species
GACGAACGCUGGCGGCGUGCUUAACACAUGCAAGUCGAACGAAGUGGCGAACGGGUGAGUAACGCGUAAUCAACCUGCCCUUCAGAGGGGGACAACAGUUGGAACCGACUGCUACUACCGCAUACUGAAGCAGGGGUUUGCGUCUGAUUAGCUCGUUGGAGGGGUAACGGCCCAACAAGGCGAGGAGCAGUAGCCGGUCUGAGAGGAUGAACGGGCACAUUGGGACUGAGACACGGCCCAGACUCCUACGGGAGGCAGCAGUGGGGAAUCUUCGGCAAUGGGGGGAACCCUGACCGAGCAACGCCGCGUGAGUGAAGAAAGUUUUCGGAGCGUAAAGCUCUGUUGUUCAGGAAGCGGUACUUAAACAGAAAGGGACGGCUAACUACGUGCCAGCAGCCGCGGUAAUAC